rnacentral:lncRNA from 1 species
GUGACCACAGCGGCAGAGAUUGGAGUGAUGUGGUCAUGUGUCAAGGAAUGCCUAGAGCCACCAGAAGCUGGAGGGGGCAAGGGCUACAUCGUCUCCUAGAGGUCCUGGAGGCAGCCAGACCUUGAUUUCAGACUUCUGUCCUCCUCCAGAACUGUAAGCGAAUCCAUUUCUAUUGUUUUAAGUUUGUGGCGAUUUGUCAUGCAGACACAGGAAACUAAUAUACUAUUUACCACCUUAGGAAGCAAACAGCACAACGCAAAAUGUCACUGUGGUUACAAAACUAUUUAAAAACCUUCUCGUCAUUCCUGAUUUAAAAAGUUCAGUAGAUUUGAUGUUGCUUCUUAAUCUUAUUAUUUAAGGUUUUUAAGAAGUCUGCCUUCCUAGGUUUUCAGCCAUUGUACAGUCCCAAAGAUUUUCAGAUCAAUGGAAACUUUCCUCACUUGGGUGGGUCCUUGAACCUGGUUGUACAGCCCAUGGUGAUUCAAACCUGAGCCACUGUUCAGACUGAGAUCCUUCUGUGGCAGUGCUCUCUGGUUUCAUCCGAGGAGCUUAAUCACCUUUCCUAUUGAGUUUAGUGGGAGGGGGUUCCUAUUCUUUCCUUUCUCUUUCUCUUUUCUUUCUUUCUUUCUUCUUUCUUUCUUUCUUUCUUUCUCUUUUUUGCAACUUGAGGUCUUUAAAUUCUUAUUGCCUUUAACUAUAAUAUAGUGACAUCAUCUAUAGGGUGACUAUAUAUGUCUUACAGGUACUUCAUUAUACUAGUAAGGAAAAUCCAGCAGAUUCAUUUUCUUGGAUAGGCAGUUAGCUCUCUUUUUAAUGAUCUGAGAAUGCCCCUGUUUUUUGUUUUUUGCUUUUUGUUUCAACUUUUUUUUUUAAUGUUUAUUUAUUUUUGAGGGAGGGCGAGAGCGCGAGCAGGGCAGGGGCAGAGAGAGAGGGAGACACAGAAUCCGAAGCAGGCUCCGGGCUUUGAGCUGUCGGCACAGAGCCUGACACGGGGCUCAAACCCAUCAACCGUGAGAUCGUGACCCGAGCUGAAGCCGGACGCUCAGCCAGCUGAGCCACCAGGCACCCCUUGCCCCCGUUGAGAUUGCUCCUGAGCUGAUUAUUAUACAUGCCUCCUUGCUCUCAACUAUUUCUACCUCGUGGUUGGGUGAGACCAGGGGCAGUGAGUGAUCCUCUUCCUGUCACUGAUACAGCUCCAGGACUCCCUGGAAGGUCUACAGUUUUAUCCUCCUGGUCCUCGUUACCCUCCUACGAAGUCACUAAAGAUGUAAACAUACUCCACUGUAUAUAUGCGCCACCCGCAAGGGGCGGGGGGGAUUGGGUCUGUGACUGGAGGCCUUUCUCCUGCUCUGCAUUCUCAGUGUGUGGACUCUGCUUGUGGGUCUUGCUUCAUGGAUUACAGAUGUCUUGCUCCAGAUGUUGUGCAGGAAGAAGCGCAACGAUGGGCAACUGUGCCCUGUGGCUACCCCUCCGUCAUGAAGGCAAAAGCUUUCCCAAAAUGUGCUCCCCCAAAAAAGCAGACUUCUGUGUACCUCUCACUGGCCAAAAGUUUGUCAUAUGACCUGCUGGUUUCAAAGGAGACCGGGCACAGGUGUUUAGAGUUUCUAGUCUCUACUUGAGUGAGGUAAGCAAGGAGGGAAGGGUUGGGAAGGGUGAUGGGUUAGCCAGCUUCCCACCUGCCGCACAACUUCUCUGUGCAUGUUGGCUUUAUGCUUCUCUCUAUAGACAGACCUCCUUCUUCUGCUUCAUCAUUUGUUUGGCUAAAAAUGUCCACCUUAGCUCUAGCGAAGCCCCCAGCCCAGAGGCCUGCUUCUCAGUUUGUGAUCUGUGGCAUUCCCGUCUUAGACUCACUGGGGAUACUUGUUAAAAGUAUCCUGUAGGGGCGUCUGGGUGGUUCAGUCGGCUGAGCUUCCGACUCCGGCUCAGGUCAUGAUCUCGCAGUCCAUGAGUUCGAGCCCCGCGUCAGGCUCUGUGCUGACAGCUCAGAGCCUGGAGCCUGUUUCGGAUUCUGUGUCUCCCUCUCUCUCUGACCCUCCCCCUCUCAUGCUCUGUCUCUCUCUGUCUCAAAAAUGAAUAAACAUUAAAAAUAAAAAAAUUUUGGGGCGCCUGGGUGGCGCAGUCGGUUAAGCGUCCGACUUCAGCCAGGUCACGAUCUCGCGGUCCGUGAGUUCGAGCCCCGAGUCAGGCUCUGGGCUGAUGGCUCGGAGCCUGGAGCCUGUUUCCGAUUCUGUGUCUCCCUCUCUCUCUGCCCCUCCCCCGUUCAUGCUCUGUCUCUCUCUGUCCCAAAAUAAAUAAAAAACGUUGAAAAAAAAAUUAAAAAAAAAAAAUAAAAAAAUUUUUUUAAAAAGUAUCCUGUGCUUCAAACCUGCUGCAGAUACACCCUGAAGAUCACAGAUCCUGAAGAUCAAAUAUUUUUCAGCUCCAGACCCAAAGAUAUGGUUUUGGAGCUUGGGAAUCUCACAUGAUUCUUGUGUACAUUAAGCUUUGAGAGCCAAUGAACUAGAGUCCUUGUGUCCCAGUUCCAGACCCGUGGGAGAGGGCUCCAGGUUGGCCUGUUUGGGUUCUGUAUGUAUAACCCUCAGUCCAAUCAGUCAAGGGUGCCGUUAGAAGGCAGGUGGGCUCAGGGCCCACGGCACUGACCUCCCAUCAGUGACCUUAGGAGUAAUCUCUCUAGGGAGCAUGGGCGGGGCAAGAAAGGUGACUCUGUGAACUUCUCCGCUGUGGGGCUCCCCGUUCCCAGCAUGCAAUUUCUCCUUUCACAGGAGCCCUCUGCUGACCUCAGGUCUCACCCAGCACGUUUCUGCUUAUGUGGCUCUGGCACGGACUCUGGUCCAGCGUCCCACCCUCCCCUCUCUGCUGUGGAGGCCAGCUCACCUCCCCUCCUCCCUAACCAUUGCCUCAUCAUUCCUGGCCUCACUCGUUGUCGCUCAACUUUGAAAUGCCGUGCAGCUUUCAGCCGGUGUAUCGUAACUCAGGCCACGCAGCCAUUUCCAAAUGUACAGCCGCAAAUCAAAUAUGAAGAAGUGUAACAUUUUGAAUUCUUGUGUGAUUAAACUCAGCUCAGUUCCACUUGUCAACUUCAUUUGUCCUGAAAACUGAUAACCUAAAGCUCUUAAUAGUUCCACAUUAAGGUAGCUCCUUACUUCCAGUUUAAGAUGUUGCCUCUUUUUGUAAGGAGGCAGUCAUAGUCAGAGUUUCCCCCCCUUUUACGCCCUAGGAGUGACCUCAGUGUGUAGGGGGCUUAGAAAUAAUCUGGGUUUGGGGGUGCCUGGGUGGUGCAGUCAGUUAAGCAUCUGACUUUGGCUCAGGUCAUGAUCUCGCGGUCCGUGAGUUCGAGCCCUGCGUCGGGCUCUGUGCUGACAGCUCAGAGCCUGGAGCCUGCUUCGGAUUCUGGGUCUCCCUCUCUCUCUGUCCCUCCCCCGCUGCUCAUGCUCUCUCUGUCUCUCUCGGUCAAAGAUAAAUGAGCAUUAAAAGUAAUAAUAAUAAUAAUAAUCUGGGAUUUUAUGCAGUCCUUUGCCUUUGAUGGCCACUGUGCAGUCAUGCUCUGGGCUCUGGAGAACUAUGGCUGGCAUCCUUAAGGCAUCUCCCCUCCUGCCUGGCCUUUGAUGUGGAAGGCUAGCUGUGCUGUUGAGGACUCUGGGCUCUGACCUGACCCCCAUCAACCAUGAAGCCAACACUGCUGUGUCCUCCUGCCCUGCUCCUAGACCUCUCGUGACUUACCAGGUCCCAUACUCCCUCUACACCCCUGCCUGGGUAUUCAAAACUCUCAAUUGCCUCUCCUUAUUCUUCAGUGCCAUGCAGGACUUUGCAAGGCUGUGCUAAGGCCAGUCUGCUCAGACACAUCCCCCCAUCAUUGCCAAUCUGGAUCCAAGAGCCAAACUGCUCCAACGUCUUUCAAAUUCAAAGCUUUUCUAUGAGACUCGCUGUCCUCUUGGGCUCUGCCUUGGAAGGUGCUUUUGGAAGUCUCUUAAACCUAACGAGUGUCUUUACCACGUUCCACAUAAGGUUUGACCGCGAGAGGGACCAGAUUUUGCCAUCAGUUACGUUAUUCUUAUCAAGUACCCUGUCUUAAUCAUCUCUGAAUCUCUUCCUCUGGCUCACUGGUAAAUCUUCAUUUCCUGUUUGGAUGGAAAGGUAGAUACAUCGACUGGCAUUCCUUACUAUUCUGUGGAAGUUAGUCCAAACCAAGUGCUCGUUCCACCAAACUUGGUUCUUGAUCCCUAAAGCUCAGCUCUUAGAAUUCCAUGGAACCCAUUUGUUUGUUUGUUUGUUUGUUUGUUUGUUUAUUUUGAGAAAUCUAGUUCUUAUAAGUAAGUAGCCCUUUGGCUUUCAGAGGAUGGUGCAUGCUGUGCGUUUAAGAAACCCAGUUAGAAAUUUCACAAACUCCUUUGACUUGGGAUGGGAUGAUUUGUUCUCCCCUGAGAGUAGUUCACCUAGAAGGUGUCACCAGUGCUGGCAACAUGUAGGAGAAAAGCAACCAAGAGCGCAGAUCAAAUGCACACACACUGUUGUCCCUUUCACGCAGUCAGUUACAUUGCCUUUGCCUGUGUCUCAUGUGUGUUAAGCAAGUCGCUCAUAAACUAGAUGCUCCCUGAUGGCAGCACCGGGAUCCUACCAGAGAAGAACAGAGGAGUCUAACUCAAAUCAGUUUGUCAUGAUGCCUGCCAGGCCAGCUUGGAUAGCAUUGGAUAUGUCAAGAAAAAUAAAACUCCAUGGGUGUUUCUCUCUCUCUUUUUUUCCUUCCAGAAGAAGGGAUUUUAACUACACCUAUCCCAAGAUGUGAACCAGUGAAGCAGCACUUUAUCUAGAAUCAAGGACACUGUGCUUGCUGUAUGGGUUUUGUCGGUAUGGAAACCGUGUUUCUGAUACUGCAACAGAAUCAUCACUUGCUUCUACCACAUUUUGCUGACCACAGGCAAAUCAUAGUUUUACUGAGCCAACCCUUGUGUGUCAAUAAAAGUAGCUUAAGAGUCAGUUAAAUAAAAGUUUUCAAGAUCUAAUUUCCUGACAACCAGUGAAUAUCUCUUGUUAUUGGGCUCAAACUUUUUUUUCAAUUUAGCAAAACUGAAUUGGACACUUCACAUGAUGCACUUUACAUUAUACCUGAUACAAAUAUUAUCUCCCAGGAGCGCUCCUGAUCUCCAGCCUGUGUGUCUACCUGUCUCCUUGGCAUCUCUACUUAUAUGUUCAACGAUCCUGACAUCAACCAUGCCAACCCUCCUCUUUACUGUCAUAAUAAUGGCGUUACUGUUCAGUCUGUGGCUCAAGUCUAGGAUCUGGGAAUCAACCCAGACCUCUUUCAUUCCUUCACAUCAAUUCCUUGGAAGUCAUCUCUCCCUCCCAAAUAGAGCCUUAAUCCAACCACAUCUCACCCCCUCUACUGCUACUAGGUUAGUCCAAGAAGCCACUGUGUCUUAACUGAACUGCUCCAAUAGCCUCCUAACUGGUCUGCUUGCUUUCACCCUCUCUCCACCCACAGACACUCCCCUUCAUUCUUCAUACAUCACACAGAAUCCUCUUUUUAAAGACUAUAUUUAAUAAUAUCACUCACCCUCCCAUUUAAGUCCCUCCCAUAAUUUCCUACUAUAAUUAGAAUAAAAUACAAACUUUGUUAGGGCCCAAGGACUUCCCUGAGAUGGUCCUGCCAAUAUCUUGGAUCUAAUCUUGUACCCCUUGUCCCAUCACUCAUUGGCCUUUAAUUUGUCUCUGGAGAAUGCAAAAUUUCUUCUCGUUUCACAGCUUUUCUUUUUUGCCAUUUCCUUUGGUUGGAAUGCUUUUUCUCAAGAUCUCAACAUACUCCAGCUUCCUUUUUCAUCAGAAAAGACUCAGAGACGAUGUGACCUCUUUAGAGAAUCCUUCCCUGACUACUUAGCUAGACUAACUACCCUUUGCUGCAAGAUACCUUCUAUUACUCUGAUAUUUUUUUAAUAGGAAAUAUCACUUCCUGAAUCUCCCUCCUACCUCUCCUUCUUCCCUCUCUCCUUGUCUUCGUCCCUUUCUUCUUCUCCUACUUCUUCAUUGGCUAUUUGCUCCCACCACAACGCACAUGUCACCAAAACAAAGAUCUCUUCCAUUCGUCACUGUAAUUUUAGCACCUAGAAUAGUGUCUAGAGCAUUGUAGGUGCUCAUUGUAAAUACCAUUUAUUGAGUGACUUCUGUGUACCCGGCACUGUUGUAGUUUCCUUAGACAUCUAUCCCUAUUUCUCAAAGCAAGCUUUCAAAGAUUUAAAUGUGAAUAAGUUGAAGCACAGAGAAGUGAUGUGACACAGUUAGUGUUAAACUAAGUUGAAUCCAGGUCUAUCUGAUUUCAAACUCCAUGCUUUAAAAACAAUUUUUUUUAAUUCAACAUUGCUUCACUCUACUUGAUUUUCAGGUUCCACAUUUUGCCAAAUGAUUGCCUUUAUACAGCUACUGAUAUCUGGUGUCAUUUUGGCUAAGAUUGAUAUGAAUACAUUUGUGCAUCUUUUGGAUUAUUUGCCUUCAAAGGUACAAGACAAUUUUUAAUCAAAUACAAUGACACUGAUGUUAACUCGUAUGGAAAUGAAUUUUUUUUCUGAGAUAUUAGUAGAUAUUAAUAAUUGUAAUUUAUCUUCCUUAAUCGAUUUCUUUGGGGCUGGCUCUUUUACAGAGAGGAUAUCAGCUUGUAUACUUGCUUCCUCCUUUCUCCACGUAGUUUUUAAUUUUCAACUUCAAUGCAUACAGAGCAUCAACUUAUAGAUGUCAGGUCCUUUUUAAAAAAAAAAAAAAUGGGUGUGGGUAGUGAGAGGAGGUAAGAGUAUCAACCAAAAUGAGCACAUGCAUUUGGAAGCGUCCUGGCAAUUGAGAGAUGUCAUUCUGAACGUCGUAAAGACAAACAACAAGGGUGGGAGAAAUGCCUGUGGUGAGUCAGGAGGACAGCGAGCACAUGGCUGACUGGACCGAGGGCAGGCGUUCCUGACUGGGGUUUCGUGUACCAGGUGUACCUUUACAUCCCUACGUGGUGGGGCAAAUCCAGACGCUGCCGAGAAUGACCCGAGAUUGGUGGGGCCAAGUGCAGAUUUCGGUCCACAGACCUCCUCCUGCCCCUCUCCCUGCCUUCAAAUACCCAUAGACUCCCCAGUAUCUUCUCAGUUCACUGCUUUCUGCCACAAGCCGGGGGAUGAUACCCGGGACCCCGGGUCCCAGCUGCCCAGUGGUGCCUGAAUUAGUUGUUGUUAUCUCUUGAGGGGAAGGGGGACCAGAAAACAUAGAAUGAGGAAAUAUGCAAGACCUAAGACUCAGUCUUUAGUUUGAAUAAAACUAUGAGGCCACACCAUGGGCUCCCCAGGUACCCCCACUCCAGCUUCUUGACCAUACAGCUGACCCAUUUCCUUUGCCAUCUGUCUUCCUUCUUUAAGGUCAUCUUCUUGGGACCAGAUCGCACUCCUUUCCCUGCGCUCCCUGAGGCUCCUGUGAGCUACCCUCGCCCUGUCCCAACCCACCCACCCAUCAGCCUGUCCUGACUCUCUCAGGUUCCUGUCGCUUGGGACCUCGUAUCUCCAGCCUUGUCUCUUUCUGUCAGUGCAUGAAAGGAAAUCAGCCUGCCCAUCUGCACUUUUUCAGUGAAGCCCACCUUCCUUUUACACCAUGCCACUCCCAUCCUCACCAUUAGGUUUUAAAAACAUAAAAACAGCACCUGGGUGGCUCAGUCGGUUAAGCGUCCGACUUCGGCUCAGGUCAUGAUCUCACGGUUCGUGGGUUCAAGCCCCGCGUCGGGCUCUGUGCUUACAGCUCAGAGCCUGGAGCCUGUUUCAGAUUCUGUGUCUCCCUCUGUCUCUCUGACCCUCCCCCGUUCAUGCUCUGUCUCUCUCUGUCUCAAAAAUAAAUAAAUGUUAAAAAAAAUUUAACAAAACAAAACAUAAAAACUAGUUCCCUACCAUCAACAACGCUUACGCACCUCCCCGAUUAGCAAAUAUUAAAGGUCUACUGAAGUGGGGUUUCAGCGCCCUUUGCCAAAGAAAUUUUAUUUCAUGCAUAGGGUAUGAUGCAAAAAGAAAAAAAAAAAAAAGAGUGUGGGUAGUUCCCUAUCUCUACUUUACAGUUUCAAAGCCUCAAGAAGUUAAAAUUUGCCUAUAUUUGGUGCUCAGUCUAUACUGACAGAAACUCUGCACCAUCGAAAAAUGUUGCAAACCGUGAAAUUCUGCUCAAAGAGGUUUUUCUUUUUUCCUCCAGGUAGUUAGGUCAGAUAAUAACCUAACAAAAAUAUUUAACUACUUUCAUUUUUAUCUAUUGAAAGUAAACGCCAAUGUGUAUUGAUCUGCUGUGUUAAAGAGUGUAUGCGAAUAAUUAUAGUUCCUAUGUAGUAACUUUAAAUUGUAUAAUUUUUUAGUUCCAAAAGGAAAAAAAAAACCAAGUUGUUUAAAAGUUAAUAGAAAGGGUAAAAUUCACCCUACGUAAGUUAUUUUCUAUAUUUCUAGACAUUUCGGGUGACAGGCUUUUUAAAAAAAAAUGUCAUAAAAGUGUUGUGAAAGAAUAUUUUUAUAUUUCAUGAAUCUUGAUUAUUUUUACAGUGUAACAGUGUAUCAUAUUGUAUGAUUGGAAGCAAUGUAUUUGUUAUGUAAAACAAGGCUAUAUUUUCCAGAGUAAUAUCUCUAUUAAGCAUAAAUAUAAUUUCCCUCAGCAAGUCCAGAGAACAUUCUGGUAGGUUAGUCUGCUUUUUGUCAUACCUUGAUGAGUAUUUUCUUAGGACAGUAAAUAUUCCUUGAAAGCCUGAUGUGUGAUGACUGUAUACUAUGUGAUUAAACACUGUUCCUGAUUUUGUUGCUGUCUCAUGAGAUUUGGGUUGUUUCUCAUCUUUCCAUAUUAAAAAAAAAAAUAGCAUUAUGAUUUCUUGAGUUCUUUUUUAACGUUUAUAUCUUUUUGAGAGACAGAGAGACACAGCCUGAGCAGGGGGAGGGGCAGAGAGAGGGAGACACAGAAUCUGAAGCAGGCUCCAGGCUCUGAGCUGUCAGCACAGAGAGCGACACGGGGCUCGAAGCCUCAAACUGCAAGAUGUUGACAUGAGCUGAAGUCAGACGUUCAACCCACUGAGCCACUCAGGCGCCCCAAGACCAAGUUUAAAUGCUACUGCUGGAGGCUUCAGUCCUUUCAGUCAGUGUUUGUCUUCUGGAUGGCAUGGGGAGUUUGGGGGUUUUAGAUUUCCUGACAGAUUUAGCCUACGGCUUCUUUUCUUCCUGGCUAAGAGCUGGGCCAUCUGACCACAACUGGGUCAGGAUGGGUAGAAACAGGAACAGCUGGGCUCUGAGUGGCCAAGGCCAAGCUGGAGGGGAGGUCCAGCUAGUUUCCUUGAUUACUCUUCCACUCUGGGCCUAUUUUUCCCAUCGGGUAACGAUUCUCCCCCUUCUUCCUUAGAUCAGUCCUCAUCUGGUACUACUGUUUGAUAGUACCAGAUGGUUUCUUUUAGUUCCAGUUCUCAAAUUUCUCUUCAAGUAGCUGCAUAGACAACUGUGAUAUUGUGAUUUAUAAUAAGAAAUGGACAUUUAGUCUUUGACCCCAUUCCAGACACAGAGCUCAUAAAACUCUAGGAAUUUUUAAAGCGUGAAAGUGAUAGAGUUGUCGUUUGUUAUGUUAAUGCGGGGGUGUUUGGCAAGCAUCUCAGGAUGGGAGCAGGUUGCCUGGGGAACCAACCAACCUAGCAAUGAGAAGUUUGGGACUCAGUCCUAUUGGCUCUGGCCUCCAGGGAGGGGGAGAGAGGCUAGAACCAAUGGCCAAUGAUUUAAUCAAUCAUGCCUUUGUAACGAAGCCUCCAUAAAAACCCAAAAGGACGUGGCUCAGAAAGUGUCGGUGUUGGUGAACACAUAUAGAUUUGAGGGGAGUGGGUGUGCCUGGAGAGUUCAUGGAAGCUCUAUGCCCUUUCCCCAUACCUUGCUUUAUGCGUCUGUUCCAUCUGGCUGUUCCUGAGUUAUAUUCUUUCAUAAGAAACCAGUAGUCUAGUAAGUAAGAUAUUUCUGAGUUCUGUGACCUGCUCUAGCAAAUCAAUUGAACCCAAGGAUGAGGUUGUUGGAACCCCCAAUCUGUGGCCAGGCAGAAGCACAGGUGACAACCUGACUUGCAUCUGGCACCCGAGUGGGGAUGGGCGGAGUCUUGUAGAACUGAACCUUUAACCUGUGCAAUCUGACACCGCUUCCAGGCAGACAGCAUCAGACUUGAGUUGAAUCGUAGGACACCUAGCUGGUGUCCUACAGAGAACUGCUCGGUGACGUGGGGAAGAAAGCCACACGCUAAAAUCAGUUGGAAUCAGAAUCUUAACAACCUAGACUUGUUUCAGCACCACAGUCCAUGUUGGGCUUUCACGUUCCACCCCCAGAACUAGAUCCUGCCUGGCACCUGGUUCCUGCUCUCUGCCAAGAGCUUCUGGAUACCUACUAACUCUGUCUGCCUCCCAGACCCGGGAGUUUCUUCACAGUGCCUCCAUCACUGUAAUCAACUCCUGUAUGCUAGGGUUCCUUCUCCAAAUGUCCUUUCUCUGAAAAGCAGAGCUCUCUUCUAGUGUCUGCAACUGUAUCCAUUCUGUAAGUACUUGCCCCAUGCCCGUGAUGAGAGCCAGCUCCUCCUGUUAGGAAUCAUCCCUUCUAAUCCUGGCUCCUCUUUACUCUGUUGUCCUGUGACCCUGCCUCUCUGUGCCUCUACUGCAUCGUUAUGUGGAGAUAAUAACAGUACUUGCCUCCUAGAGUUAGGAGAUGGCAAUAAAUUAACAUGUGCAAACAGCUCAGAAAGUUGCUCUAUACUUCAGUGUUUAAUGCAUCUUAACUCCAUACUUAAGUGUUUAAUGCAUCUGAGCUUUAUUAUCUUAGCAAAUUUCUCUCCAAGCUCUGUUAUCACCAGGGAUGAAAUUCAGGCUGCUCUUUCCUUGAAGUCCCACUACAGGGACAGACAAAGUGAGGCAGGGGAAAGUUCUUGGACUGCUGCUUCUCUUUCUAGGACAUCACAAAUGGCCCAACAGCCCUCCUGCCAAAUUCAGAGCCAGCAGUCAAUAGUAUUUCCCUUUUAUCUUUUUUAAAACAAGGUCCUAGGGGCGCCUGGGUGGCUCAGUCGGCUAAACGUCCGGCUUAGGCUCAGGUCAUGAUCUUAUCCGUGAGUUCGAGCCCCACAUCGGACUCUGUUGUUGCCAGCUCAGAGCCUGGAGCCUGCUUCCGAUUCUGUGUCUCCCUCUCUCUCUGACCCUCCCCCGUUCAUGCUCUGUCUCUCUCUCUGUCUCAAAAAUAAAUACUAAAAAAAAAAAAAUAAUAAUAAAAAAGUAAAUAAAACAAGGUCCUUAAAAGAAAUAUUGACUUCUGAAUUGUACACAAUAGGGCUCUAAUGGGUGUUUGUUAAAGGGAGCAUUCCAUGUGUAGAAAGGGCUUGCUUUGAGCUGUAUCUCUUUUAGUCUCAUGUUCCAGGCUCAAUGUGAGGUAAGACGAAGCUGGGAAAAGUAUGUCAAAAUUCAGUGUAUUAUAUAACUCUCAAGAGGUGGACCACAGAAAACUGAAUGCUGACAAAUUCAUAGAAACAGAAUAGAAUGGUGGUUGCCAGGGCCUGAGGGUGGGGGAAAUGGAGAGACAUUGGUCAAAGCGUACAAAUGUUUAGCUUUAAGAUGAUUAAGUUCUGGGGCUCAGUAUUCAUUGUGGUGACUAUAGUUAAUAAUAUGUAUCGUAUACUCGAAAAGUUACUAAGAGAGAUCUUAAACGUUCUUACCAGACAGAAAAAAAAAAAUUGUAAUACUGUCAGGUGAUGGAUGUGCUAACUAAAUCUUACCAUGGUCGUCAUUUUGCAGCAUACGUGGGUAACAAAUCAUAAUACUGAACACCUUACACUUACACAUUAUAUGUCAAUUCUAUAUCUCACGAAAGCUGGGAGAUCGAGGAAGGUGUGCUAAGAAUGCUUCACAGGUGGGCCAGCAAGUUGUGAUCCAAUUUCCAAAUUUAUUGAUUGCAAAAUCAGUUUCUUUGUGUAACGUCUUUUAGCGACUGGUUCUCAUUUCUGACUUGUUUCACCUUGGUUAGAGCGUAUGAAUCCUUCAUAUGUGUGCUUAAAGUCUUGUGCUGAAUGAGAAAAAAAAAAAAAAGCUUGCCGCUGGAAGAUUCUAAAAAUGGGCAGGAGAGAUCCUUCAAGUAUAUAUUAAGCAUGAUUGGAAGUCCCACAAUGCAGGUGACACGAAUUGGAAAUAACAAGGAAGCGUGUCAAGUGGAAAAACCAUGGGUUAAUUCUAAUCUUCCCAUUGUGCCAGCUCUGAGGCGUCACCAGAAAUAGCUGUGGGUCCUGGAAGCUGUGGUCAUAGUCUGAAUAUGCCAUGAACACGGGAGGAAACGGGGAUGAGGAGGCCGGUUAUGCCUCAUUCCCUUCCAGCCCCCCUUACGUACACAGGAAGUAAUAGCCAGGACUGUCAUCUUUUAGGACAAAGGAUGAUGAUGUAAAAAGUCUGAAACAUAAAGGUUGCAGAUGAUCAUCCAUAAGUCAUGUAAACUGACUGCUUGACCCUUCAUCUGAUUUACUUUUUAAACCUGAACAUCUCAUUGUGUGAUUUCCUUGCCUGUAUAUCCCCUUCUGUGCCCUGAGAAUGAGACACACUCUUUUUCCCCAGCUAGUCUUCGGGGACCCCGAGUUAUUUUUGAAUGGUUCUAAAUCCAGUUUAAACACAGAAAAAGGGAAGGUCUUAGAAAACAAGUAUUUUUGUUUGGUUUCCUUUUUUACAAAAAUAGAAUACAUCAAGGUAAGCUAAACAAUGGACUUAAGAGAUCCCUUUCAGAUCAUGUUCAUUCUGAUAACGUAAAAGUUGGCGACUCUUAUGCCCUUACUUUGAUGCUGAUGUUUGUACAUGUAAUACAUUUAAAUAGUUGGUGUUUGUUAGCUAUUCUUAUGCAUAAUUUCAUCAACCACUUUUUAAAAACAUAUUUUCCCUUACAUUUGGAACAUCUUUCACUAACCAUCAAGUUAAUAAAUUGAAGAUUUUGAAGUUUUCUUCAUAAAUGUCAUUAAAUUUUAAAUAAUUGCUUUCAUAUAUACAUCCCUUUAGGAUUUUCAGAAUACUAUUAAAAUAGUUGCUUUUGAUAGAUAUCGUAUUCAAGGCAGUAGCAUCUAACGUGUUUUUAACAUCUGAAUUCUUGCGGAGUAAUUUUCUGGAUUAUUUCCCUUUCAUUCCUUUGAGAAUUUAUACAGGCAACCCGUGCUUUGUAUGUGUUGUGUUAACUGAAACUCAUUUGUAUCAGAACCGUGAGGAGUGAGGGCUGCUUUAUGUUUGUUUGUUUGUUUGUUUGAACCUCAUCAGGGUUCAAACAUCACUUUUGGGAGACUAGAACACCUUGGUAUUCUGAUAGUAGUGUCGUUUUUCUCUAAAAUUAUUGAGAAAUUAUUGAGAUUGCCUUUUACAGACGUAUAUUUCCUCUGUUAGUACCAGCCGCUGGUGACGCUUCCAGUGCAGGACAAACACAAAAGGAUCUCUGUGCAGCUCAAUGUUCCCACCAAGUUGUUCGGCUAGAAUUCUGGUCCUUGGUCCAGUUCUUCCCAGCGUUCGUGAAAAGAGCAAGGAGAAUCCCCUAAGUGACCCUUUGUGUCCCACAUGGUCUUGUGGGUUCCCAGCCACUGAUGUAGCAGCCAACUAUUUUCAAGGAGUCUGGUGAACCUGUACCACUGUCCCCAGACCCUCCUUAGCAGUAACCUGACACCCAUGUCAGCAUGUGCCCCAAACUCACCCAUGCUCGACUCCCUAGUUCCCCCCAUCCCUGGCCCUUGGCAAUUUAUUCAUCUGUACUGAGAAAAAUGGAAGAUACUAUUAGUGUGUACCUCAUAGGGUUGUUUCAAGGGGGUAAUGAAAUGCCUACAGUGCACUUUGUGUUUUGCAAACACACAGUAAUUAUUCAGUGUUAGCACUUAUUAUUGUCCCAUAGAGGAUAAUUCUGAGGCUUGAAGCCCUACUCUUAGGAGACAUUAACUUUCACUUUUCAAGAGCCUUUGAAGCCUCCAUUCUAAUCUGACCUGGGCCACUGUAUCAGUUUCCUGUAGCUGCUGUAACAAAUUACCAUAAAUUUGGUGGCUUAAAUUAGCAUGGAUUGAUUACCUUAUAGUCUGGAGGUCAGAAGUCCUACAAUCCAGGAGCCAGUAGGGCUGCAUUCCUCCAGAAGGCUCGAGGGGAGAACCCAUUUCCCUUCCUUGUUCAGCUUCUAGAAGCUGUGAUCUUCCUUGGUUUGUGGCCCCUUCCUUCAUCUUCAAAGCCAACAGCACAGCAUCUUCACAUGUCCUCCUUUGUCUCUGUGCACCUGCUACCAUGAUCCUAUCUCUUGACCUAUGACCCUGACACUGCUGCUUUUCUCUUCUCGGGAACACUGGGCCCACCUUGAUAGCAUGAUAAUCACCCCAUCUCUCCAUCACAAGAUCACAGGUUUGGAACAUGAGGAUGUAGCCAUAAUUGGGGGUCCAUUAUUCCACCUACUAGUGCCACUUUUCAGAUUUAAUCUGAUUUCUCAUUUUUAAUAUAACCCAAAUACUAGGUGACACUGAAGUGUUGAACUCAGCCAACUCAACUCCCAAAGCCAUUCCUUGCUAGGGUUGUUUACACAUUAUCAGGUAUCAGAAAGAUCCAGACAAGAACUCUGGCAGACGUUGUGAGUUGGCUGAUCCAUCACCCAUUUCUAACACUUUUCUCCUUUUAUUUCCUCUACUCAAAAGUCUAGGGGUACCUGGGUGGCUCAGUUGGUUAAGCAUCCAACUCUUAAUCUCAGCUCAGGUCAUGAUCUCACGGUUUGUGAGUUUGAGCCCUGCAUCAGACUCUCUGCUGUCAGUAUGGAGCCCACUCCAUAUACUCUGUCCCAUUUCAUGCUCUCUCUCUCUCUCUCUAAAAAAUAAUAAAUAAAUAUUUUUAAAAAGUCCAUACUUCCUUGGAAUGGCCAAGCAGCACAGUUUUUGCCAAUCAGAUAUAAGUAAAAAUCUGUUGUGAAUUUUGAGAAACUUUGCUUGCAUCAUUAAAAAGGACAUAUAUCUUCCCUUUUGGGGGAUGUAAAUCUGAUAGUUGGAGCUUCAGCAGCCAUCUUGUAAUCAUGAGGAAAAGGCAGGGCUAGGGAAUCACAGAAACAUUGGCCCUUCCAUUGUUGCAUUACUGACACAACUUCAGUAACCACACUAGCAACUUCUGUUAUGUAAGAAUAAGUCAACUCAUAUUUUGUCUAGCCACUGUAUUUAGGUUCUCUGUUACUCGUGGUUGACCAAACAUAAUACCAGCUUAAAAAAAUUACCUAGCCUAACCAUAAAUGCCUCAUCCCACAGAAGCCAUAUGGAAACCUGACAACAGUGGGAAUAAACACUAAUAAUAUUAUAAUGGAUAAUGAACUUAUGCUAUUAUAUGAUAAUUUUUAGACUUAUUAAUGGAAAACCCCUCUUUUGAGUGAAACGAAUAACUUCACAGAACCAGAAUCAAAUUGUUGGCUAAUGUAAGCUGGCCAAGGAGACCUUGCCAAGUAUUUUUCUUUUCAAAAACAUCUCCCAUUCUUGCUUUUAAUCUUAGCUCCUGCUUGUCCUUAAACUCCUUAUUUCUGUAAUAAAUAAUAAUUUUCUGCCUCUGUUUAUACUAGACUUGGUUUACUUAUUUUCUCACUAGUGUUUUUUUGGGGGGUCGUUGAAUUUUGUUCCUUUCAGUUCUGAAACGUCAAGGUUCUGUAUCACUGCAGAAGCAAAAACCUUUGUUUUUAAAGGCUAAAAUACUUCUCUCAGAGGGGUUUUCCAGAAGAACUGAGUGGUGUACUCAGGAGUGCAUAUUAGAGGGAAACCCCUUAGCUUCUCUCAUCCCUCAAUGGCAACCAGUUUCCAUGAAGCAUUGAUUACAGACUCCAUAAAAGUAUGUGCCCAUCUUCUGACCUCUGAAGACACAGACAAUAAGCCAGAAGGAUGCGUAAUCAGCAGCAUGUAUGUAGGAUUAUGUGGAAUGUGGGAUGCUUAGUGAGAACCAGAAAAAGUUGAGAGAAGGUAAGAGAGAGAGGUUCAGUUGUUAGCCGGUCUUAGCAGAAGAUUUAGUCUUUAUAGAAAACUCUACAGUCUUAUCUAAAACACAUUAGUGGUGCAUCUGGAUGACUCAGUGGGUCGGGCUCACAACUCUUGAUUUCGGCUUGGGCCAUGGUCCUAGGGUUGUGGGACUGAGUCCUGCAUAGCGUGGAGCCCUCUUAAGGUUCUCUCUUUCUUCCUCUGCCCCUCUCCUCCACUUGUGCUCGCUCUUUAUCUUUAAAAAAAAAAUUAAAAGUAAGUAAAUAAAUAUAGUAAAACACAUUAGUUAAAUUAUUAGAACUGUUCCCAAUGUAAUUCUUUAAUGCUAGAAAAUUCGUAGAAAAUUCUGUAAUUUUAGGUAUUUCCACCAUGAAAUACAUACAUAUAUACAUACACGUGUGUGUGUGUGUGUGUGUGUGUGUGUGUGUGUAAUUUUAAGAUGCUGUAGAUUUUAUAAAGCACCAUCAAUUUAAAUGCAGCUUUUGUGUGUGUAAGGAAAAAAAGCAAAUCACACUGAAUGGACAAACCAAUUCUUACACAGACUACUUUCAGAGAGACUUAAUGUAUGCAAAGCAAAGAUUUUGGUCUUUGAAGGAAAGUCAUUCUUUUGCCUCCUUCAGGAGAGAUCCAAGCUCAGAUUCCUCACUUGGAAUGUGAGGAAUGGUGAUGGGGGUGGGGUGUUGGGGGGUUGCUAGGGAGAAAGGCCAGGAGAAUUAUGAGAAAAAAAGAUCAGAUCCCAACUUGGUAGAUACUUACAACAAAUGUAAAACUUGGUUGUCUUCAGAGAACAAUAGAAUUUCCUGAACAGGUUUUACUUAUCCUGGUUCAUUUGAAGAUGAAACAGGGCCUGCCCUUGGCAAUAUUGUGAAAAGAUGAAGAGCUUUUAUGGCUCAUGGGAAAACACUCAGGAUAAUCAGGAAUGUAAGUUUGGGUUCUAACUUUACAACUAAUUUAUGGUGUGACAGGAGCACAUUAUUUAAGCUUCCUGGCCUACAAUAUUCUUUUGGAAAGUUAACACAAUAGACCUUUGGUCUCCCACAAAAUAUUGGAGCCACCGGGAGCAUAGAGAUGGAUUUCUUCAGGAUUAUCCAGUGAGUUAUGGGCUGGAGUGAGACGGGGGAGGUCCCCCCAUUGCAACAGAGUGGCCUCAGGGCCUUGGCUGGUGAAAUGCAACUACUGGGGCCAGGGGGCAGCAGGUGCUGGGGGCAGGAGAUGGCACCAGACACCCACCACCAAUCUUCGAGCUCCUUAAAGACAGCCCACCAGGCAAAGGGGCUGAUGAGGAGGGCAAAACCCCGGGAAGACCAAGAAGACUAGCAGAGGCUGGGGGCGCCUGGGCAGCUCAGUCGGUUAAGCAUCCGACUCCUGAUUUUGGCUCAGGUCACCGUCUCACCAUUUGUGAGUUUGAGCCCUGCAUGGAGCUCUGCGCUGCCAGCAUGGAGCCUGCUUGGGACUCUCUGUCUCCCUUGCUCUCUGCCCCUCGCUCUCUCUCUCUCUCUCUCUCUCUCUCAAAAAUAAGCAUUAAAAGAAAGAAAAAAAAAAAACUAGCAGAGGCUGAAAGUAGUGAAGCACCUCCCUUUCCAAACUGUGUGACAAGGACAGGUGGUGAAAGCCAAGUGGCCAGUUUGUCUCUGCCUUUAAGCCUUAGCUUCCUGCCUAUCCUGUCUUCACGGUUUGCUCUGAGGCACCAGUAAGCAUGUUAACCUCAUCCAGUCUGCUAUGUGAUAGAGCAGUGGGCAAGGAGAGUUUUAAGAUUGCAAAGUGGCCAAAAUGUGAGAAAAUAUAACAAACUGAAAGUGGGAGGGGUGUGUGGAAUCUACAUAUGCAAAUGGAAUGAAUCUUAAAAUAGCGAAGAGGGGUACCUGUGUGGCUCAGUCCAUUAAGCGUCUGACUUUGGCUCAGGUCUGACUUCAGCUCAGAUCAUGAUCUCACAGUUCAUGGGUUCGAGCCCUGCAUCCGACUGCUAUCAGCACAGAGCCUGCUUCAGAUCCUCUGUCCCCUUCUCUCUCUACCCCUUCCCCACUUGUUCUCUCUCUCUCUCUCUCUCUCUCUCUCUUUCAAAAAAUAAAUAAACCUUUCAAAAUAAAAUAGAAGAAUUAUGGAGAAGAAAGAUUUAUCAUAGAACACAAGCUUAUCAGUGUCCCAUGCCAAGCAAUCAACGGUGAUCACAUGUUUUCUACUUACAAAUAAAUAGACUUAAGAAGGAUCCUUUAGAACAUAAUCUAAUCACAGAACAGGACCUUUUGUUCUCAUUCUAGAAUGGUGUUUAUUCAAAAUAUAGGUCACACUCACAAGUGUGUCAUAAAAUCAAUUAGUGGGUCAUGCAUAGCAACUUUUCUCUCUGAUAGAGUAAAGUAGAAGAUAUCAGAUUAUAUCACACAAAGUAAGUUCUGUGAACUUGAGUUUCAGGUGUGUGUGUGCUUGCAUGUGGUGGGGCAUGAUGUAAAAUAUAGUUUUUACUAUGGGAAACUGUCAAUAAAAAUUUAAAAAAAAGAUCCUGGUGUGACAUUACAUGAGGCUUCCAGAAAUUUAGGGGCAAACUCUGAGUUAUGGGUUGAAUUGUACUCCUCAAAAAUAUACAUUGAAGCCCUAACCCCCAAGACUUAUGAAUGUGACCGUAUUUAUAUAUAGUGUCUUCGCAGACCUAACAUAGGUUGAUACAGUAGGGAACAAUUUAAACGUAAUGGGGAUUUCACAUUUGAUUAUGUACAAUUUAUUCUGGAAGAAACACUAAAAAAGUGCAUAAAACUGCACUGGCAGAAUCGAACUGCGUAAGAAAACUCAAACUACAGGCACGCACCUCAGACACCUACCUGAGCCACAUCAGUUCACUGUGUAUUAGGAUCCAUCCUCAUUCGUGUCUGUCAUUGCACCUUACCUGACUGAUUUCAGAAAACUUUCUUUCUAUAACAUGACACUAACUCCCAAGCUACAACCCCUUUCACAAGCAAAGUUCAUCUUUGUCAAGGUAAAGUACCGUGUUUAUUGUAGUAUUCAUGCGUGUCUUAUCCAUUUCACGUGUGUGAAACUGUGCUACUGUUUUUAGCAGGCUCUCCUUUUUGUAAAUGCACCAGUGACGUGUGUGAGUUUUGUGCCCUAGUCAUAUUUGUCAUUUAAGCCCCAUGGUUGUCACUGUGGGAUUUUGCAGGGCACGGUGAUUUUUAGGAAUGCUAUGUUGUGUCAUAGCAGAACUGAGUGUAUGGUAAUUAAAACUGUGAUAAUGGAUGAGAUCAUCCAGUGGGUGAGUAGAUAAGAGGGCAAGGGUUGAGUUCAGGGGCACUCCAGCCUUAACAGAUAGAAAGGAGGAGCCAGUGAAGGAACCAUUUUGUGAGAUAGGAAGAAACUCAAGAGACAUGGUGUUCUAGAAGCCAAGUGAAGGCAGUGUUUCAAGGAAAGGUCUAAUCAAUUGCAUCCAGUGCCGCAGAGAAAUCAAGAAACAAGAGCACUGACUGAGAAGUCACCACUGAAUUUAGUAAUUUGGUGGCAGAGUGGGGAAAAGCCUAACUGGAGAGAAUAUAUUUUUUGAAUAAUCAUGAAAUAAAUUUUAUUUGAUUUUUUUUUUAAUUUUUUUUUCAACGUUUAUUUAUUUUUGGGACAGAGAGAGACAGAGCAUGAACGGGGAGGGGCAGAGAGAGAGGGAGACACAGAAUCGGAAACAGGCUCCAGGCUCUGAGCCAUCAGCCCAGAGCCUGACGCGGGGCUCGAACUCACGGACCACGAGAUCGUGACCUGGCUGAAGUCGGACGCUUAACCGACUGCGCCACCCAGGCGCCCCAAAUUUUAUUUGAUUUUAACACAAGUCUUUUUCAAGUGAGUUCUGCCACUAACAUGCACAUUUAUGUCUUGUAUGGUGUCUCAUAGAUCAAGUUCUGCUUACAAUUUUUAGUAUCGCUAUGGAGUCCUUCCUAAAGGUCUGACAGUGGGGCAGAAGCACUGUUUAAGGGAGCAGAUUCUACAAUUAAGACAGACUUUGUUGUACAUUUCAGUGUCACUACUUACUAGUGAUCUGACGUAAGCCUUACUUCAGAUUUGCAAAGUGAGGUUCAUAUCCUACCGUGGUCAUUGUCAGGACUGGGUAAGGGAAGUGCUUAGCAUGGCAUCUGACAUAAGGAUGCCUCAUAAAUGCUAUUAUUAAUGUUUUUUUUUUUUUUUACAAUGAUCUAUGCAAUGUUUGGCCUUGAAUUUACAAUGAAGUUGGGGGCUAAGACACAAAAAAAUUAAAUAAGCAUAAAUGAAUAGAACCAAAGUAACCAGGGAAAGUGAUACUUCCAACAGGACUGAAAGGAGGAAGAGUGGUGAGAAGGGUCCCCUGGGCUUGCUGUCCACCUGCUACUCUGUAAAACCAUAGCCACAUGUCCUUGGUUGGUCCUCAUACCACACUGUGAUGAGGCAUUCUCCCCAGCCCAACGGUGAGAAGACCAACACUCUAGUAGGCUCAUACCUUCCUCCAGGUCCCCGAUUAACAGGAGUGAGUGAGCUCAUCUCUCAAAUCCACGCUUGCGGAGACAGAGUGGAGCAGCAGAGAGGUACGGGGCUACGUCUCCACUCUCCGCCAUAUGCAAACACUAACAAGACAACAAAACAAAACCUGUGGCAAGCAAAGCUUCAUUUUAGCCUGAUAUUUCCUCUAAAGAAUGACAUCUAAGAAACAAACCCAAGGGAAGCCUGUGGCAUAUUCUUACCCUGGACCUUUUCUUCUUCUGGUAGGGUUAAUCAUAUGGUGGAGCAGAGUUCCAGGGAAGGCACGGAAGGAGGACAGCUGGAAAUGAACAGCAAGUGUGUAUAAAGGGGUGCUUACAGGAGACAAACACUGUGGUGUCUAUUUCCCAACCUGGCUUAUCCACACAUUUACUCUGCAGUGGACUGUGUACCUGCAGUCUGUGUGGCUCCUGUUGGAGUAACUAAUGGGGGGGGGCAGGUAUUUGGAUUUGAGGAUGUCUCCACACUAGUUGAGCCUCUCAGCUCAAGCUGGCAGAACAUGGGUGACUGGUGCCCUGCAGGGUAUGGUUCAAGGAGUGGCUUAUAUCUCUCUCCUCUCAUUGGCCAUUAAGGGUUCUUAAAGUGCUUCCUUAAGCAGAGAGUAGAGUCUAACUGGAAGAGAUAGGCUGUGCCCCUGGGCAUCAUGUUAGCUAAUUGUGAAGCUAGACGCUCAGUCUCCCCACGUACUCUCAGUGGGUAAAGGCUAUGGCCUUGAAGGAUAAACCCAUGACAGGUAUGUUUUGAUGGGCCGAGGGAAAAUGGAACAUGAAACUUUGUAGAGCUCCGUGGGACUUGGAAGGAGAGCGUUGAUCAAGGUGUGUACUAGUUUCCCAAGGCUGUCAUAACAAAUGACCACAACUGGGUGAACCUAACCUACAGAAAUUUAUUCUCUCACAGUUCUGGAGGAGGCUAGAAAUGUGAGAUCAGGUGUCGGCAGGGUGGGUUCCUUCUGGGCGUUCGGAGAGAGAAUCUGUUCCAUGCCUCUCUCCUAUCUGCUGGUGGAUGGAUGGAAAUCUUUGGUUUCCCUUGGCUUAUAGGCGUAUCUCUCUGCCUUCAUAUUCCAAGGCUGUUUCUCCCGCAUCUCUGUGUCUGUGUCGUUUCCUCUCUUCUUACAAGGACAACAGCGAUAUUGGAUUAAAGCCCUGUCCUACUCCAUAAUGAUCUCAUCUUAACAAUGAUCUAUAUCUGCAAAAAAAAACCUAUUUCGAAAUAGGGUGACAUUCUGAGAUUCCAAAAAGAAUAUAAACGUUCCAGCCCUUACAAGAGGGGAGCAUAAAACCAUUAGGAGUUACUGUCUGUGAGAGAACAGAGAGGAAAGGAGAAGGCGUCUCUGAAGGAAGGCUUGAAAGGACACAGAAUACCAGUGAAGCAGGACAGGGUUAUAACAGGAAGCACACGUACCAUAUGGGGCAGCAGAGAUUUUAAAGAAGGAGCCAUUUACAGUCAGCGGUGGGGUUAAGUAAAAACAAACAAACAAAACAAGAGGGUGACGAAGAGCUCCAGAGCUAGCACAAGCAGGACGCCAUUUCCACUAGCCCUCUCGCCCUCCUCCUUCCUUCCACUACCACAGAGAAGGGUUCCACGCGGGCUUCUACCAGCUUCUCUGCCGCUGACCUGCUCUGCAAUGCCUCUCUUAUCCUGUGCUGGGGUUUCUCUGAUGCAGCGGCUGGGCUGCCUGGCACUCAGGUAUGCCCAGCCUGGAGAUGGGGAGUUAGUGCCAGGGUGCCACCCUUGAGGAGGGGGGAGUGGAAGCCAGUUGAUGCCCACUUCCCUAUUUCUUCCCUAGCUGACUGCUCUGGGAUACGUUCCAUAAGACUCCUCAGAAGAUUCUGAGGGAUUAAGCACCAACUGACGACAGCGGUGGCCAAUUCAAGAAUUCAUCCUUGUGUUGGGGUUUACUUCCUUCGCCUUCACUCGCCCCGCCUCUCACAACUGCCCCCUGAGAUACAUGUUCAAGCAAACACACAGGUACACAGCCUUCAUUUCAGGCUCUUCUCUAAGGGAACCCCAGGCUGAGCAACCACUGUCAGCCAGCGAAUUCAAGGGGGUUGAGGGAUUUCUUGGAAAGAGUGAGAGAAAAGGGGGGUGGGACGGGAGGGAAGGAUGGAGAGAGAGAAAGGGAGAACAGAGGAGGAAGAGAGGAAGAGAGAGGGAGGAGGAGGGAGAGGAGAGAGACAGAAAGAGAGCUGAAGCCGAAGAAGGCAAACUGUAGUCCUCUGAGCAGGACUACAGUCUCUGCCAACCCUCAGGCCAGUGGGCAGCUGGGAGGAAAAAUACAAAGUACAAUCGCCUGCCACCCACUGCCCCCUGCCAGAGACUUCUGUGGCUGAACCAAUUCCCAGAGGGGGAGGAAGGGUCAGCCUUCAUGCAGUUCAUAGAGGUCAGCCUCCCAGGGCACAGAAUAGGUGAGAAAGAUAGGAGAUAGAACUGGAAGCAGACAGAAUUGCCAGCACAACCACGUCUGCCCACACCCCAGUUUUCUCUCCUGACAGAAGAGAAGUUCUUACAGAAUUGGCCACAACAUCAGUAUCUUCACAAAGCCGUCUUUUCAAAGUGGUAAAUGCUUCUAGGAUGAGGUUGCUCUUGCAACCACGCAGAAAUAACGUGUUGGCUACACAUAAUUUUGGUUUAUCGCCAUUGAGCAUAAUCAUCAUAAUAAACGCAGUCAUCAUCUGGAUUUAGCAGCCUCGUUUGUAUGAAGACAAGUGUGGACCUGCAUUCAGAACAUCCCCUGGUUCAAAGCCCAGCGCUGCUACGAACAACAAUUGGGCCCUGGAACGAGUUUCCUUAACCCUCGGAGUCUCGGUGUUCUCAUCUGCAAAAUAGGAUUAAAAUAUCUACCCCACCUCACAAAAUUUUUGUGGGGAUUCAGUGAAAGGAGAUAUUGCAAAUGGUGGCAAAUGGACUUCGCUUGGGAGCGAAGAAGAAGGGACUUCUUGUCACAGGGCUCAUCCUCAGCUGUGUUCAAAAAAACGUUCCGUGAGAAGCUAUGACUUAUGUGUUAAGGAAAGAAUGUACUCUGUCUCAGGUGUAAUUCAUCUUGUAUCUAAAAAUGCAUGAUUCUAUGAAAUACAGCAUACUUAUUUCUCUCUCUCUCAUUUGUCCUUUGAGGAAAGUCUACCCAUUUCUUCUGAAGUAGCACUACUAUAUAAAGGAAACGCAUCUUUCUUGCCUUGUAAACAAUUUUUCCCAUUAUUUUGUUCCUCUUUCCCAAACAGGACUUUUUUAGUGGGAAUGAAGAUAGAAGAAAAAGAGUUUAAUGAAAAGACAAACAUGGAUACAAAUUUAUGAUCAUACUCACCUUCUUUUUUUUUUAAAAAAAAAAGGAAAAAUAAUGAAGUUAAAGCAAAUUGGAUCACAAAGAAAAAAUCAGAUGUAUUAUGAAAAUAAUAAUGUUUAUGUUUUCUCUCUGGAUUAUGUAGUUGUUAAACCAUAUAUUUCAUUUGUUGACUAUUUUGCGGUUAUCACUCUGUUUAUAAAAAUGAUUGCCAAUUUCAAGCCUCAUUCCGGAGAAUGAGCCAGAGGGCAUUGGGAUAGGUGCGCACUAAUCCUAAAAUUGUGUUUGAACAUGAGAGCUGGUUCUCCUUAGCAGGACUCAGGUGUUACAACCAAGGCUUAAGCCACAACAGAAUUAGAAAACUAUCCUUACAUGGAAAUCUUUUCUCAGAGGGCAUAUAUUUUGAAUCUCUGUUUUCAAUGAACAGAGCAAGCAGGGGCUGUGAAAUGCAUUUUCAGUUGGGGAGAGGGAAAGGGGCUUGUGGAAGGUGGCUAGUUAAGGGAUGAAUUAAAUCUUUCUUUAAAAAAAAAAUAAAUCAGAAAAUCCAUGUUUGGACCAGGCAUUAGGGAUACUAUAGCCUUUGGUUCUUGGUCAAUGGGAAAUUUUAAUCAUAGAUCCUUGGGAAAUUGACCAGACUACUCAUUGUCCCACAGUAGAUGUCAAGUAUCUACCUGUCAUAGAAUUUCCUCCACCUGUUAGAAUUUGGAUGCCACUCUUUGGGGAGAGGUGGGUCUCAGCACUCUCUCAGAUGGUGAAAGUGCAGGGUGGGUUCUUGGCAGUGAGCAACUCCUUGUAUUUUGCCUCUUAUGUGCCUCGCUGUCCUCACCCUAGUGUUAGCCCUGAGAGGCACCCGACAAGGUCUGAGGGGUCUGAGAGUUAGUCAAUAUAACCAUUCGGGCAUCUCCCAGGCACGUGCAGAUCUGGGAGAGCGCACUGGCUUGGGUGCUGCAAGAGCUCCAGUAAAGAGAAAAUGCUGGUUGCUAUGCCUCAACCUCAGCUGUGUAAAGUGACAGUUUACUCCUCUGACCAAAAUGUAUCUAGAAUGUUAGAAAGCGCCUGUGCCUGACGCGUCUCCCAGAGUCAGUCUAGGCUGGUCUGCCUGCCUGCGUGAGCAGCUGAGAAUGUAUUUUCAAAGCUGUCUAGUGACUAUUGCUCAAGUGGCUUACAGAUGUCUGGGUUGGUCCUCAGGUAGAUUCUCUCUGGAGCAUUCUAAUUCUGACCUUCUAUCCCUACUCCAGGGAUCUUGAGACCCACCUCUCUAUUCUGUUUGGGGAUGUGACAAUGAUGGUUGAUAUUCUUCUGGUCAGAAUGCCCAGAUGCUGGUUCUCAGCUGUGUCUUCUCCAUUGUAGGGGAUGAAAUUGUUCCUGGAAGAGUUCCAGGACCUGAUGUCCUCACUUAUUGGAUUUUGCAUAUUUAGACAAAGCUUUUCCUUAUGAUUCCCAGAUAUGGCUCCUUCUCCUCUACUCCCCAAAGCACCUGGCUAAUAUCUGUUUAUUGCUUUCUCUGCCCUGUAUCCACAGUGCCUAGUGUAUACAUCUUGGCCUCACCAGACUAUGGGCCCCACAAGUCCAAGGACAAUGUCUUAUUUAGCUCUGAUUCUCCACAGCAGGUAAUCCAGCACCUGAGGGUUGAGAUGUGUCCCAGAAAGAAUUCUUAAAUGAAUCAAUGGGUAAAUAAUUGAAUUUGUUACUCUGGAAGGGAAUUCAUCAAAAAUUUUGCUUCUUUUUUAAGUAUUUUUAAAAAUUUAUUUAUUUUUGAGAGAGAGAGUGCAAGCAGAGGAAGAGAGAGAGAGGGAGCCACAGAAUCUGAAGCAGGUUCCAGGCUCUGAGCUGUCAGCACAGAGCCUGACACGGGGCUCGAACUCAAGAACCGUGAGAUCAUGACCUGAGCUGAAGUCAGACCUGAGCCACCCAGGCACCCCCAAAAUUUUUGCUCCUAAUUGGACAGAAAAGUAUUCUUUUUGGUUCUCAAGCUUCUCUGUACUCAUCAAAGUACUGCAUUUGGAAGGUGUUGUGGUAACUGAGUGAUGGCCAGAGGAAGCAUGAAAACAGAUGCUGGAAAGAAACAUUACUGUGAGUCAAGCUUAGGUAUUUGUUUAGAUAAUAAGGGGUAAUGCCAGAGUUAGUAAUGAGGGAGACUAGACACUUUAAAAAGUACAAAAUGAAGAAAUAAUUGCUAGUUGGGAUCCUGCUGCUUUAGAAUGUCCGUGAAAAUGUUAGCAAAUUGUAUUUAUGUGGGAUCAGAUCCCUAGACUCUAUUAUUCCAAAUAUAUUGUAAAAUUGUUAUGACUCAGGAUCGCGUAUCCAUGUGGUUGAUCCAGGAAUGUCAUGAUGUGAUAGAAUGAUUCCUCAACGUGCCCCUCUACCAUUGUCUGCUUGGUUGUUUUUGAAUGAGGCAUUUAAAUUAUAGAUCAAUUUUUGUAUAGAAAACAAACAGAAUAGGCUAAGUGAUGCCUAUGAUCUUUCCAAUCUCUAAAAUGUUACCAUUUUAUACUUUUAGGUGGUUUUGAAAAAGACACAAUUAUUCAGAGUGCUCUUUAUGGGGAAAAAAAAAGAUCCAUACAUACUCUUCCGUGAAUAUAAUUUAAAUAUUUCAAUGUAAUAUGGUAUAUGUUCAAUGAUUCAUUUGAAAAUAUUAAUAUUUUAAUAAAGAAUAUGUUAAUGAAAUCUCAAAAUGUAUGAACCGUUUAAUUAAUUUUUAACCUUUUUUUAAGUUUAUUUUUGAGAUGGAAUGGGGAGAGAGGCAGAGAGAGGAUCUCAAGCAGUCUCUGUGCUGUCAGUGCAGAGCCCGAUGUAGGGCCUGAUCCCACUAACGGUGAGAUCAUGACCUGAGAAACCAAAAGUCGGAUGCUUAACCGACUAAGCUACCCAGGUACCCAAAAACACGUUUGUUUGUUUUUUUUAAUGUUUACCUACUUUUGAGAAAGAGCAGGGGAGGGGCAGAAAGAGAGAGGGAGACACAGGAUCUGAAGUAGGGGCUUUGCUGACAGCAGAGAGCCCAAUGAGGGGCUGGAGCCCACGAAUUGUGAGACCACGACUUGAGCUGAAGUCAGAUGCUUAACCAACUGAGCCACCCAGGCGCCCCUGGACUCUUUCUUAACACAGUAUCUGCAUUUUUCUCAAAAACAAAACAAAAAUACUUUCUACUUGAAACUCCACAUCAUGAUGAUAUUCCCCUUACAGUUUGCUGAAUGACAUUUUGUUAGGGCUGAUAGGAGGGGGUUACUCCCACAGUCCUGGAGUCAUAGAAGCUGCCUGAUGGGAAAAGUGAUAUGCACGUCACAGAGCAUAAGUAGGGUAGGGAUGGGAGGGGAAGAGUCAUCCCUAUUCGACUCCUUCCACAGUAAUUUUCUUCCUACCACCACUUCUGUGGAGCCAGAGGAAGCACGAACGAGACAGAAGUGACUUACUUAUGUAUUACACACAAAUUGGAAACCAACGGUUGCCCUAUCCUUUCUGGCUCCAAUUAUUUCCCCAGCGCUCCCAGUUGUGAAAUGGGGUGACCUUACAUCAGACCCAGAAGAAUUUUGGCACCAGCUUAAAGCUCCUGAUGAAAAUAGAAUUCUUUUUGCUUUACAAAAGUAUAUUAAUUAUGUAUAUAAAAUAAUCCUUUAUGGUCUGACUUGAGCAUUAAAUCCCAUCGAUGCAUCACAUGCUCCAUUCUUUGGUUCAGCAAAAGUGUGUUAAAAAUGAGAUUUUGCAACUUUCUAAGUGGGUUUAAUAAUGAGGAAGGUGGUAAGGGCUGGCUUUUCUCUGGUUUAAAUUAAAACAGUUUCUGAUAAAGACAAACCAAACUUCCCUCCUCUGUGUUUCUCUUCUUUUUUUUUUUUUUUUUUAAAGUUUAUUUAUUUUUGAGAGAGACAGAGACAGUGCAAGGGGGGGAGAGGCAGGGAGAGAAAAAGGCAGAAUCCCAAGCAGGCUCCCCACUGUCAGCAUGGAGCCUGAUAUGGGGGCUCAAACUCAUGAAACCAUGAGAUUAUGACCUGGGCCGAAACCGAGAUUCGAACACUUAACUGACUGAGCCACCCAGGUGCCCCCAUGUUUCUCCUCUUUCAUAGAUUUGGAUCCUUCCAAAAUACCUAUCAUCUCAGAAUAGGGUAAGAUGUCUUGAGAAUGCCCUACACAGAGGAAACCACCUUUUUGGUGGUGCAUUCAUGAUCGCCAUGCAAAGAUAUUUCUAUGGGGUGAGGUCUCCUUGAUUGAAACCAUAAUCUUAUGUUCUUUCCUAUCUCUGAUUAGCCACAAUUCGUUUCCAGGGAAUUGUGCAACCGAUCCAGGAUUUUAUUUCAGAGAGAGCCUGGGCUAUGCAUAUAUUCUUUGUGGACACAUUGGCCCUGAAAUCCCAGAAAGUCCAGAGAUGAGUCAUCGGCAAUACGGUUGCCCUGGUACACGAAACUGUGAUCAAACUCGUGUUAUCUGGUGUGUUAUCAGAGUGUAGAUGAGGUGUAGGUGGCACAUGGAGGAAGAAGGCAAUUUGACGAAUGACAGCUAUUAAAUUGAAACCAGGGAUGGGGCGCCUGGGUGGCGCAGUUGGUUAAGCGUCCGACUUCAGCCAGGUCACGAUCUCGCGCUCCGUGAGUUCGAGCCCCGCGUCGGGCUCUGGGCUGAUGGCUCAGAGCCUGGAGCCUGUUUCCGAUUCUGUGUCUCCCUCUCUCUCUGCCCCUCCCCCGUUCAUGCUCUGUCUCUCUCUGUCCCAAAAAUAAAUAAAAUUUGAAAAAAAAAAAUUUUAAAAAAAUAAAUUGAAACCAGGGAGGAGCAGCUCUCAACUGUGGGCCAAUCUAUACCGCCAUGUGAGGAGGGACGCUGUGUUGGCAGUGACAAGCUGGCAGGGUCAAGAAAAUGAAGUCCUUUGGAAGUGUCAAGGUUGGCCAGAGUUCCCUCCGAAUAAUAAAAUCUUUACUGUACCGUCAGUGCUCAUUGGAGACAGAAAGGAGACAUUGAGUCAGUGCCCAGAGAAAAGCAGAAUCAAUUCUGUACACACUCUUGGCUAACACAGACCAUCCCUGAAUGCAUAGCCAGCCCCCUGCUUGAGAAAAAUCACACCUGCACCUCUACCUCUCCGACUUACUUGUAUCUUCUACCAACUUCAUGACGAGUUUGGUUUCUUCAUCUUGUAACACAAUGUAUUUUUCUCCUUUAUUUCUCUGGCAGAGAAAAAUAUGGAGAAUUAGAAAGAAAAGGAGUAUCCCCACUUUUCCUUCAGAUGCAGUCCUAAUGCUGCUCUUGAAAAAGGCAAGCGUGGAGAAAAAAAAAAAAAGUACUCAGCCUGUGCAAGUUUUUGUUUUAGUUUUGUCGUCUUUGUGGAUGUGUUUAAUAGUGAGGUACUUUGUGCGGGCUUGCAAAGUCACCGUAUUGGGCGGAAGGAAACUUGUACUGCUCUUCCCUAGGUUGGUCCUGUCCAGCUGAGGAAGGGCACACUGUUAGGAGAGGCAUAAUGACACUCACACCUUCUUGUGAGCUCCAUUACUGUCACUAGCUACUCCUUCAGCUCUAGGCUAUCUUUCAAAUGCGUGCUCAAACACAGCCUUCUCAGAAAUCCUUCUUUCAUACAUAUUCGCUACUGUCCCACCCUCACCCCCAAGGAAUCACUUUCCUUGCACUAUUUCUAGACUUUGUGCAUAUCUCACUCUACUGAAACCAUUGAUCUACCUUGUUUUCAUGUCUCUCACACUAGAGUGUGAACCCUACGGAGAAUAGAUGCUAUCUUGCCUAAUAGUGAAAGGCAAAUAGUAGGGACCAAAUAAACGUAUGUUUGACUGACUGACUGGCUGUAGUCCUUAUCAUGGGGCACACAGGCAGGGCAGGAGCUUACUGUUCUCUGAGUACAGGAUCUAUCACACCAAUAUUUUAUUUAUUUUCUGGCUCGGUACAUUUCCCUUAAAGCCAGUUCCGGUCUAUUGUGAAAUGUCUUUCUCAUGAGCCGCUUCCCCCUCCAUCGUGUUAACACAUAUACACACAUAGUCCAGGCAGAAGGUUUCUUUGUGGAUGGGGAAAUGAAAAUACCAUAUUGCAUUAGUUCUAAAACAGAGAUUUUUUUUUUCACCUUUUGAAUUGAAAUUAGGGAGUUUUUGCCAAUCGAUGGCAUCUUACAGCUAUGAUUGGCAGUGCUUUUUGGAAUCAGACCCAAAAUGAUGCAUCUUUCAAUGAUGGCUUCUUAGAUUUGUUAAAAUAUUGUACUUAUGGAAAAAGCUGUACCAGGGGCCAAGCCAGCCAGAAUUUAUAUGGUAAAUUCUGGGUAUGUUCCGAAUGCUACAUUAAAAACAAACCAAAAACGGACUUUUCCAGAAUAAAGUGAGAGGAUCAGACUUAAGGAUCAGCAAGCAAGGAUCAUGUGACAGUCAUUGUUACACCUCUGGCAUCUGAUCUAGUACGUGCCUGGAACAUAUACAUACUGCAUAAAGUUAAUUGAUAAUAGUUUUGAGUAUUCACUCUGUUUUAGUCAGUGGAUUUUAAGUGCUUUUUAUGUUUAAGCUCAUUUAAUACUCAGGAUAUCACUCUGUGUGGGACUAUGAUCCCCAUUUUUCAGAUGCAUAGAGUGAGGCUGAGGGCCGGAAGGUAAUGUGCCCUAUGUGCUAUAAAGAGUACGUGGCAAAGCUAUGGCUGGACCCCAGCUUCAUUUGCCAUCAAAAGCCAUGCUCUUGUGCUCUAUGCAGUGCUUUCGUCCCAGUAAAUAUUGAUUUUGAAUAAGUGAUAUUUCUACUGGUGGUCAUUUGCUUGGUCAGUUGUCAGUUCUCAACUUUCUGUCCAAAUUGUCCACUUUCCUGGGCCCCAUAUACUCCACUAGUCAUCAAAUGACUAUCUUGGAUCUAACAUUUUGAUGAAUAUUGUUUGGUGUAAUAAACAGUCCAUUGGAAAAAUAUUUCCUUUAUUUAAUGAUUAUAGGCAAAAUCCUAUCAAAACCCAAAUGCUCUAAGAGCCAUUUGUGAUUAUGAUGUGGUUGUAUUUCACAAACGCAAUAUUGCGGAGGUAAGAUAAAUUCAUUUUGGGGGUGCCUGGGUGGCUCAGUGGGUUAAGCAUCUGACUCUUGAUUUCAGCUCUGGUCAUGAUCUCAUGGUUUGUAAGAUCAGGCCCCAAGUUGGGCUCUUCAUUGACAGUGUGGAGCCUGCUUGGGAUUCUCUCUCUCUCUCUCUCUCUCUCUCUCCCACACACACACACUGUUGCUCAUGCUCACUCUCUCUCUCAAAUAAAUAAACUUAAAAAAAUUUUUCAAGAAAAAGUCAUUUUGUAAGUAGUAGGAAAAAAAAACCCCACAAUCUCUCUUUCAUAGGACUGCCAUCCUUGAGGUCGUGUAGAAAAAAAUUAAAUUCGGUGGGCUUUGAUUGAUGUCAUCUUUAGGGCCUGAGACCUGUUUUUCUGACACCGAGACACUCAAGCAUAAUAUUAAGAAAAUCCUGAGGAAAUUCACUUCAGGUACAAAAGAUUCUGCUAGACCACUGUUUCCUCUUUGUAGUCAUUGCAGAGCUCAGAAUGAGGGGUGGUGCCCUGGCCACCAUGCUGGGCAAUGGAAGAAGCACGGGUCUAGGACCAAGCUCAAAUGUGCACCCCAGUUUCUUGGAGGGCUUGUUCAAACACAGACUGGGUCCAGCAAAUCCAAUUUGCUGCACCAUUGGGUCCAGCAAAUGGCUACCUGUUGUAUCCAUUUUGUUUGUUUGUUUUUGAGAAAGAGACAGACAGACAAACAGAGCCUGAGCUGGGGAGGGGCAGAGAGAGAGGGAGACACAGAAUCCAAAGCAGGCUCCAGGCUCUCAGCUGGCAGCACAGAGCCCAAUAUGGGCUCGAACCCACUAAUCGUGAGAUCAUGACCUGAGCCCAAGUCGACACUUAACCCACUGAGCCACCCACGUGCCCCUGUUGUAUCCAUUUUCUAAGACUUGUGUGAAAAGAAAUGAAACUAACAUGUUUGCAAAUUACUUAAAAACCUAUUAUUGUUGGUAUUACUAAUAUUAUUGUGAAAGAAGCUAUAGAUUUAUGUCACCCCAGACAGCAGCUGGCAGAAUUUUUGAGUUACACAAGGCCGAGGGGUAAAAGUUCAGAUAAUUCAAAAUGAAUGUUGUGCCCUAAAAUAGCACAUAGGGGCCUUGGGAGCCAGCCUGGAAUAUAAGCGGUAAGGACACGGGCUCUGUUCUACUCAUGUGUGUUCAAAUCCUGUUUCCCGUCUGGAAAAUCGGAAUGGGAGCAGUUACCUGCUUGCCGAGAGGGCUUGCCGAGAGGGCUAUUUAAGAGAAUGCAUUUAAAGAAGCAGCACAUGGGGCGCCCAGGUGGCUCAGUCGGUUAAGCGUCCAACUUCGGCUCAGGUCAUGAUCUCACGGUUCAUGGGUUUGAGCCCCGCAUCCGUCUCUGUGCUGACAGCUCAGGGCCUGGAGCCUGCUUCAGAAUCCGUGUCUUCCUCUCUUUGCCCCUCCCCCAUUGAUGCUCACUCUCUCUCUCUCUCAAAAAUAAACAAACAUUUAAAAAUUAAAAUAAUAAUAAAUAAAGAAGCAGCACAGUGCCUGCCAUACAGUAGGCACUCUGUAAAUAUUGGCCAAUAUUUAGAUUUCAGGUUGGUAACACAGCCAUUAAGCUGUUCCAUGGAAGCAGCCAGUUCCUUGAUCCUGAAAGUCCAUAUUCUAACUACGCUGCUUUGAACAAGCAGUUGGACUCACUGACCUCUAAGGUUACUUCCAACUAAGACUCUGAUGUCAGCACAAAGCAGGCAAAUCUGGCCAGUUGCCAGCAACCAGGACUGUUUUCCUCAGUCUAUAACCGACAGCUUUACCACUCACGUCUUGGCCCUGCCCCACCCCAUAAUCGUCAAGCAGACUUUCUGGAACUCCCUAGCAGGCAAAGCACUAACAGUAGAAAACUUAAAAUGACACAAAGACUGGUGUUCACAGCUCUUCACUUCCCCCCCUGGGUUAUGUGACAAUUGAAUCAAGUCUAAACCAGAGAACGUGUGACAGUGCAAUGAGCUCUUCACGAACAAAUGCCAGAUAAGCUUCAGCAAUGUGCUCCGGGUGGGUGGAACUUCCAGGCUUGCAAAACCCUGUAGUUGAUGGAGGCAACAACUGGAGCACAAUUGCUGACCAAGUCGUGGAACCUGAUGCCGUGUCAUGGGGCUGGAAUGCGGCUCGUGGUACCCUGUUGGGCAGACUUUCCUUUUAUACCUCAUGCAGAUUAGAAGUUAUUCACUGAGGCUGUGUAUCUUCUUGCAUAGCACAGGGACCAGCACUCUGACCAUUCAACCUGACAUCACAAGUGAUAUGGGCGGGUAGGGCGUCCUUGAACAUGCAAGCCCAUUUCAGUGAUGGCAAGUGACUGAUUCAACAAACUUGGGAGAGAAUUUGCUCAGUUUCCAUCACUCUCUUUCUCACUGGGUUUAGGGUGACUGGGUGGGUCACGGGACAGGCAAGGAAACAUGACGGUAAGACAUUUCAGUUUGAUCUGAUGGCGUUAGUUGCCUCUUCUGACAUUCCUUGACAGCAAAUACAAAAAAUAUAAUUCUUUACGGGAAUGCCUAUUUUAAAAUCUUUUUCCUAAUUUUAAGUUGGGAGCGAGAGCAUUUUCUUUUCUUAAGGAAAUAUUUCAUAUGAUUGACAGAUAAUGCACUAUCCAUUUUUUAGACAAUUUUUUUUUCCCGACUCCUGGUAAACCUUUAACUUUUCUGUUUCUCUCUGCAUCUGGGUCCCAGUUACCUUCAAUUCUGAGAACUUUUUCUCACUUUCUUCAAAGCUCUCAGCCUCUAGAGUACUGACUUCCUUUCCAUAUGAUUCAUUGCCAGCCUUCACGGUGACUUCCACAUUCAUAAUCUUCCAGUCAGACGAGCACUGUUUUCAUUCUAUCUCAGCCACACCCCAGCAAGGCCACAUAUUACACUUGGCCACAACUCAGAUAUGCUUCACUUCCAGGAUGGCAAAUUCUGAAAUCCCUCUUUUUUUCUCAAAGUCCAUUCCUUCCUCUCUCCCUCUCCCCCUCUGCUUUUCCUUUCAUCUCCGUUGAGACCUCUAGUUCAUGAUGCUUACCUACUCUACCUAUCCAUCACCUGGAUUUGGUUUCAUUGCAGCAACCUGAAUCCAUUGGCUUAUCACAUCAAUUCAGCAUCACCCAUGAUUCCCUCUGUGAUACCCUUUCCAUUCUUGCUGGCUCUCUAGAGAGCACUUGCAGGGAUCUCCCACCUGGUCUCUCUUUCUUCCAAUCUGCUCUGUUCUAAUCCAUAUUAGUUACCCCUUCUAAAAUGCUCAUCCUGAUUUUAAACUUGUGUAACUCUUAUCCUCCACAGCCUUCUAGUUUUUCUUCCAAAUCUUGCUCAUGCUUUUUUUUCAUCUCCACCGGAAAGAUACCGUCUAUUGUAUUAAAGUCCAUCUCAAAUAACACGUCUGAUUCAUCCACCUUCAUUUGGUCACUUCUUAAUGUUAUGUUUCUUUGCUAGCGGCAAUGGUCUGCAUAUUUAUCUCCUUGCAGUGUGAUUCAGGCUAAGGCACAUGAGCGCUGGAUUUAGAGAGAGAUCCAGAUGAAGACCCCAGCUGUACUAUUUACUGUAUGUAUUAGUUUUAAGAUCUUGGGCGAGUCUUUCCAUUUGCCAAGACCACACUUCCUCCUCCAAAAAGGGGAUAGUACCACCUACUUGGUGGGAUGGUAAUAAUGAUUCAAUUAGAACAAAAGACUGCCAUAUAGGAGUCACUCAAGAAAUAUUAUUUCUUCCAUUCUUCCCCAUUCCUUGUGUCUUUGAAGUAGAAGACCACGUCUUACUCAUUUUGUUUCCCUUGAAAUGUCAACAGAGUUUGGCCUUUCAUGGGCCAUAAGUAAAUAGUCACUGAAUUCCCAUGUCUAUAUCAUGCGUCCUUUUUUGUUGUGAAGGUUGGAGCUCCAGAGACAAUGAUUUUUUUAUCUGCAUUCUGUUUCCUACUUAAUUUUGGUAUGUUUAUUUACUUUGUUAUUUUUUUAAGUAGGCUCCUUGCCCAGUAUGGAGCCCAAUGCAGGGCUUGAACUCAUGACACUGAGAUCAAGACCUGAGCUGAGAUCAAGAGUAGGACGCUUAACUGACUGAGCCACCCAGGCACCCCCAUUUUGAUAAGUUUAAAGCAGAAUAUUCUUUUUGUCUUAAUUUUUAAAUGUUUAUUUAUUUUUGAGAAAGAGAGACAGAGAGUGAGCAGGGGAGGGGCAGAGAGAGAGAGGGAGACACAGAAUCUGAAGCAGGUGCCAGGCUCCAAGCUGUCAGCACAGAGCCUGAUGCAGGGUUCGAACUCACAAACCGUGAGAUCAUGACCUGAGCUGAAGUCAGAUGCUUAACCAACUGAGCCACCCAGGUGCCCCUAAAGCAGAAUAUUCCUUAUAUGCUGAGCAGACACUUAAUUAUACCAAAUUUCCCUACUGUGGAUAAUUCUAUCUGCUCUAUUGAGAAAGACCUGUGGCUAGGUGCCCUAUGUCUGGCCUGGAGUAAGGAGACUUUUGUGUUUGUGUGAAGAAAGCUCAGUCAUAAUAAUGAUAUCUGAGAAUCUUCCUCUUGGGGUGACUGACUCAGCAUGAUCCAGUAUGGUUGUGACCCAUCAUGCCCUCUCCCACAUGUGGAGCUAAUAUGAAAUGAGUUGGGAAAACUGAUUCACAUCCUCAUAUGCAGAGGGACCCUGUUACAAAAAUCUAAUAAUACUACAGAAUUCCUGGCAAAAUAAGUGCUUCCCUGGGGAAAGGCAAGGCUCCCGGCUCAAUGCUUAUUAAAAGUAUUGUGAUGUAGUAGAAAGCUCACUGACCUUGGAUUGGAAAGGCCUUCACUCGAUCUCAGCUCUACCACAUAUUAGCUGUGGAACCUCAUAUAGGUUACUUGGGCCUCUCUUGUCUGUAAACGAUGACAAGUUGUCAUGACACACCUGGAAGCAAGCACCCAGUGGCAUGCACGGCAUAACCAGAAAGAACAACUGACAAACGCUAGUAAAAACAUCAAAGAGCAUAGAGAGAUUUUUCAUUUAAAAAAGACCUAGCACCAUUUGUAGACGUAAGUAGUAUCUAUUGUGCUGUCAGCGACUACCCAUGUGCAUGGUUCAUAUGUCAACUUGGCUGGGCUUUGAUGCCGAGACAUUCAGCCAAACACCAGUCUAGAUGUCACUGUGAAGGUAUAUUUUAGCUUUUACAUCAGUAGACUUGGAGGAAAGCAGAUUUACUCCCCAUUGUGUGUAGGCGUUGUCCAAUCUGUCGAGACCUUAAGAAGAAAAGAUUGAGGAAUCCUACUGGCAGGCUGCUUUCAGACUAGAGCUCCAAUGUCAGUUCUUCCCUGGUCUCCAGCCUGCUGACCUGCUCUGCAGAUUUGGGACUUGCCAGACCUCACAACUGUGUGAGCCAGUUCCUUAAAAUAAAUCUCUAUGUAGAUACACCUCCUAUCGGUUCUAUUUCUCUUACACAGCCUGCCCUGCUCACUAGGUGGUCAUUAAGUGUCAGGAACUAUAUCCAACUCAUCUUUAUAUCCUCAGCACCUAGCCCAGUGCCAGAUAUAUGGUAAAUAUUCAUGCUUAUUGAGCUGAAAAAGAAUAGCUCGCAUUCAUAUACUAUUUUGUAAAAAUCGUUACACUAAUCAAUGGCUCUACUUAGUUCUUCAUUCUUCAAAUAUUUUUCAGAUGACCACGCUUAAUGCUGAUGAUGCAGAAAGACAAGACAGAAUGGCUCUUCUCUGGCAGUUGUUUAACGGUGGGUUGGAGUGAAUGGGGCUGGUGCAUAAAUGGAGGGUAAAACUGGACACUUGGGACCCAGCGUAUCCAGGCGAGAGAGCAUGAGCUCCUGGUGUAAAACAGGGGCAACUGGAAGAAAGAGGAAGGGAUGAAUUCAAGAGAGAACUAGGAUAUGGAAAUAGUGAGAAACAGGAGAGCAAGGUGUCUCCCAUGACUCCCCGGUUUCUGUCUGAGAAGACGUGGGAGGAGCAGAAUUUCUCAUCAGCUCAUCUGAUCCUAACAUUCCUCAACAUCACAAAAUACAACCCCUUCCUUUAAGGGAUGCAGACACUGAGGCUGAGAGGGAACAGAUCAACUGCUCCAAGCCUCAUAAAUCAGGAGCUGGCAGAGCUGGUAUCAGAAUCGCAGGCCAUACCGUCUGGCUACGAUGCCCUCUCUUCAGCUUCCAUUAUGCAGCCUGGCAAACCCCCUGGGCAGUGAGGAGUGAGGAAGGGCCUUGGAGCAUCCCUGUGACUUCUCUAUGGUGUCACCUCACUCCCUUGAGUGGUCAGAUAGCAAACCAGCCUGUCGCCCUAUCUGGAUGUACAACUGAACUUCAUAAACGACCCAGGAGUCAUUCACUUCCUUUCCAAGAAGCUACAGAGAGUGAAGCAGAUUUGCUGUGCUUUCAGUUGGUUGUCCUAGAUGGGAAAAGGAGGGACAUUUAUUUGCAGUCAGAGAGGGAGAAUGUUAAUUGGUAAAAACGAAAGUACAUUUUCCCCCAAAGUGUGAGGUCAUCCUCUUCCUAUUUUUAAUUCAGAAGUGCCCUACAUGGAAUCAGUGUUCCCUUUCAAGUAAAUGACAACAUUUGACUUGUUGUCCUUUAAAGCCUGCCCACCCAUCCCCUUCCUGCUCUCUCUGCUGACCACAGUUAUUAACCCCGGCAGCAUGAAUCAAGGAAUUCUAGCAACCUGAGCCCUCUCUGUAACCUGGCAGUUGUCCAGCAACUGGUAAGGAGAGAACUGCUUUCUCUUUCUUGCUCUGAGAUGGACCUGGAAGCGGGAACCAGGAACCAGGAACCCAAACCCACCUCUGGUCUCCCACAUCAUUUUCCAAGUCCCUCUUUGUCUGCCUCUCAGCUCUCAUUGUCUUGACUGUCUUAACAUGGCCCCUAAGUUGAGGUGACCCACAGACUGCUAACCUGUCUUCGAGGGCACCUGUUCACGUAGCUCGACCUUUGCCUGGGUCUCAGUUUCUGAUUUUUUUUUUUCUUUUUUGACAAUGCUGCUGCCCCCAGACCAGCUGGGCUCACGUUUAAUUCAUCUCAGGGCUAAUUCUAGCCAGGUUAGGGAAGGGGCAUGGCAACCUUGGCCUCCCACCCCAGGCCUUCCUGCUGUCACGGUGACUAAGGAAUGGUGGGGGACAAUGGUUUGUGUCCCCCUCCCUGCCCCAAGCUCAGGGCAGUCAUGCCAGCCUCCAGCACCUGUUCCCAAAGAGCAUCCUCAUAGGACACACUAAUGGCAGAAACACAGGUACGAGGCCAGUGGGAAAGAGGCAUGGAGAUGCCUUGCAAGCAGGCAAGGAGAAACAUGCAAGCAUCAGGAUGCUCCUUUCCCUCACUUGCAAGGGUCAGGAUUGAUCCUAAUACCUGGUAUAUGCCGGUUAUUCCACUAUCUUCCAGGUGGGCACACCAAGACUGACGUCCCACAGCAGAGAGGUCCAGUGCCUCUGAGUCUUCGCUCCUGCUGUUCCCUCCGUGUGACUUGUGCUGCCUUCUUAUCAUCACCUCAGUUUCUGAAUUCUUAUCUAAGCCCUCCAGGACACUUAUUUUUCUAGCACCUCCCCCCACUCCCUGUCUUGCAGGACUGCCCUCCCGUUAACCACUUAGCACAGUGGCAGAGUGGUUACCAGGUGAUUCAAGUGGAAUUUAGAGCUCUGCAAAACACAAGUGCUCAACAUGUGUCAGGUCUUUUGACUCCUGCUUGACUCUGAGCCUUGCUCAUCCUGGAGGUUUACUUCAUGCACCAUUUGGGACAUCUUCAAACUGGGGUUUCAGGCAGCCCUCGCCAUCCUAGAAUGAGUCUCGGAUGGGGGGCUAAAUCUGAGGUCGGCUGGGCUCUGACCCAACACCUGACUUAGUCCAGUGGGAGGGUAGUUCUAAGGCCAGGCCUCGGCCCCUACCCCCACCCUAGCCAAGUUCAGCUGUGAUUUGAGAAUCAUGACUUCCUGGGUCUCAAGGGGAUGGCAAUCAGAUCUUUGCCAGAUGGCGAGGCAGCUGGAUGCUACUUUUGCAUAAAAUCACUACAGAGUCUGUAACCAUUAGAACUACCAUUUUCAUGGAAGCCAGCUCAACCUUGUUAAUUGAGCAAAUUUGGAGCAGCUCCAAACAUCCAUCCAGUUGAUGAAAUUGGUGCUCUCCAAGCAUGCCACAUCAUUUUGAGUCCAAAUUCAAAGUUUAAUCUCCAUUGGUGGUGUCCUGAGAAUUGUCGUCCUGAGCAUUGGGAGACGGCACAGGAAAUAUCGACGGUCACCCCUUCAUCAUCAGAUUGUGAUUUCUGAACUAACAUUCCUGGCCAGAAAAAGUUGGAAGAGGCUAAAACUGUCUCUUAGCUCACAUUUUUUUUGCAAUUUAAAAUCAAUGAUAUAAUUAGAUUUCCGUAUCCUACUGCUUAAUCCUUUGUUUAGAUUCCAUGCUUUCAAUUAUUCGUAUCACCUUGGGUUUCCAGUUUGGGCAAUUAAGAGUUGCCACCUUGCACAGGAGACUCCCGAUGUCCCUGGUGGAAGGUCACGGUGAUGUCUAGCAGCCUAGGCUGGUCCCACUCCACUGGCUUCCAGAGCUCUGCUUGCCCUUGGGUGUUUGCUGUCGGCUGGGCUGUGUUGCAUAAGGUCAGAGCCUGGAGCUGCCACAUCCACAGCUCUGUCCCCAGCACUGACUCAGUGCCUGGCACUCAGAAACUGCAGAAUAGAUAUUUAUUGAGUGAAUGCCUCGAGAGCAAUCAGCGGCUGUGUAAUGGAGUUCUUUGUCCUUUUCUACAGCAAGUGGAUCUCAAAGGUCAGGAAUGAGAAGAUGAAAACGGAAUUGAAGCAGAUUAAAUCAAGGCACAACAUUGUCACCCAUGGUACAUGUACAUCUGCACCCAGGGUUCUGCUCAGAGAACCCUCACAGAGCUUCUUUCUCUCUGCGCCACCUUUUUAAAAUCUUUAUUUAUUUAUGGGGAGGGGGGGCAGAGAGACAAAGGGGGAGACCCAGAAUCCAAAGCAGGCUCCAGGCUCUGAGCUGUCAACACAGAGCCUGAUGCAGGGCUUAAACUCAUGAACCUCGAGAUCAUGACCUGAGCCAAAGUCGGCCACUUGACCAACCGAGCCACCCAGGUGCCCCUCUCUCUGCUUUUAAAAGAAAACUGGACAGUCUCCUGCAGUUCCAAAGUAGAGUGGAAAAAAAAAAAAAAAAGCAGUGGAGAGAGGGGAGUUCAGAAGGAAAAGUCCAAACACCCUCUUCCCUAUAGUAAUAUUAAAAACAGUAAAAACAAUAAGGUUAAAUUGUAUUCAAGCACUUUCCAUGUGUCAGCAACUGUACUGUACAUUUAUUAUUUUAUUAAUCUUCGCAACAAGCUUAUGAGACAGAUAUUAUUAUCAUGCCUAUUUGUGGAUGAAAAAUAGGAGCUUGAAGAAUUUAAAUAAUUUGCUGAAGCUGGUAGUUAGGGAAGCUGGAAUCCACCCCAGGUUUGUCUGAGUUUAGCCACAGCCACAUAAGUGUUGUGUCUUUGUUCUUUGCUGGUUUCAGUAUUUAAGAACAAGGUGCAAGUCUCAUGAGUUGUUUCACUCAGAACACCUGGCUCAGGGUCAUGCAUAUCAUGUGGAGAUAAUAAAUAUUUGUUGAUUUGGAAGUAGAGAUAGUCAAAAGGCACUAGGAUAGGGUUAUCACACUUGAAAAUAAGCACACAUGAAAGGAAAUUCCAAAGCCAACUAAGGGAAAGCAGAGUGGUAAGUGGUCUUGCAGCUCACAAAAGACACAAUGUAUCAUUAAAGGUGUUUGGCAUUCUUAGCAUUAAGUCAAAAGAGCAUUUUAAAGUGGCUCCAACGUCUCCCUGCUUAAGUUUUUCUUUCCAUUGGUUGUAUGGACUGAAUUGUGUCCCCCUGAAAUUUAUAUGUUGAAGUCUCACCCUCAACGUGACUCUAUUUGCAAACGGAGAAUUCAGGGAGGUAAUUCAGGUUCAGUAAGAUAGAAGGGUGGGACCCUAAUGCAAUAAGAAGAGGAAAUACACCUCUCUCUCUCUCUCUUUUUAGAUUGCUUCUUAAACUGCUUUAUUACCUUUACAGCAUGUAAUAAACAUCUUUUCCUGCAAGUUGAUGAAACUUCCCUGACAGAAAAACUUCCAGAGUAAGGCAAAAUGGAAUCUCUAAUCAGAAAAAUGACAUAACACCAUAGGUUCACAUCAAGAAAAUGCAACUUCGGGAAGCAGGGGGGUUAUUAUUACUAAUCUCAGCAUUGGAGGCAUAAGGCAAAACUCAUCAUGAUGGUCACGGUGAGGGGGAUCCCCUAUAAGAAUGGGCAAACUGUACCACAACUGAAGCUCCCUGAUUUCCUCCUUAGCCGCCUCAUGUCAUCCGUGAAAAGUUCCGUAUCAUCUGUGUCUCCAUCUGUCAUGUCAACGUUAUUGACAAGCUUGUUGGGCAUAUCCUCUCUACCAUCAUGGACAGGUGGGGCCAAAUCCACUCUAAUAUUUCCUCCAGGCUCCUGGCCUUCACCACCUCCCAAAGGGUGGGCUUCUUCUUCAUUCUGCACUGGAGCCUGCCUUUCUCCUUCUCUUUCCCGGAGGACAUUUUCCAUGUUGAAACUUUUUUCCUGCUUACUUUUCCUGCAGGGAUCCAACAGAGUCUUUCUCUCUUAGCCUUGAAAUCUGCUGUGCCAAUGGACCUGAAUUUCUUGAACGCAAAUGGAUGACUUGCUGGGCGGGGGAGUCAAAACCACUUGCUGGAUGGUGACGUGGUUUCUUUAUAAGGAAUUUCAACAUGGCUGGGACCCAACAGCUCACCCUCCUUUCUCUGCCCACCAUUUUUAUCAACACCUCUCUUUUUCUCUCUGCUUAAACACAGAGAAGGACAUGUGAGGAGACAGUAAGAAGAUUGGUCAUCUACAAGAAAAAGCAAGCAAGGUCUCACCAGGAACUGAAUUUUCUAGCACCUUGAUUUUAGACUUUCAGCCUCCAGAAUGGUGACAGAAUACAUUUAUGUUGUUGAAGCCUCCCAGUCAGUGGUACUUAUUAUGACAGUCUAAGCAGACUAAUAUAACAGACCACCCUACAUUGUAUUAUCAGAAUUAUAUGCAUACAACAAUAAAUUCAUCUCAUGCUUUAAAAAUCUUC